CAGUAGCCGCGGUAAUACGAGGGGGGCGAGCGUUGUUCGGAAUUAUUGGGCGUAAAGGGUGCGUAGGCGGUUCGGUAAGUCUUAUGUGAAAUCUUCGGGCUCAACUCGAAGUCUGCAUGAGAAACUGCCGGGCUUGAGUGUGGGAGAGGUGAGUGGAAUUUCCGGUGUAGCGGUGAAAUGCGUAGAUAUCGGAAGGAACACCUGUGGCGAAAGCGGCUCACUGGACCACAACUGACGCUGAUGCACGAAAGCUAGGGGAGCAAACAGGAUUAGAUACCCCCGUAGUCCCUGUCUCUUAACA
rnacentral:rRNA from 1 species